GAUGAACGCUGGCGGCGUGCCUAAUACAUGCAAGUCGAGCGAAUGGAUUAAGAGCUUGCUCUUAUGAAGUUAGCGGCGGACGGGUGAGUAACACGUGGGUAACCUGCCCAUAAGACUGGGAUAACUCCGGGAAACCGGGGCUAAUACCGGAUAACAUUUUGAACCGCAUGGUUCGAAAUUGAAAGGCGGCUUCGGCUGUCACUUUUGGAUGGACCCGGGUCGCAUUAGCUAGUCGGUGAGGUAAAGGCUCACCAAGGCAACGAUGCGUAGCCGACCUGAGAGGGUGAUCGGCCACACUGGGACUGAGACACGGCCCAGACUCCUACGGGAGGCAGCAGUAGGGAAUCUUCCGCAAUGGACGAAAGUCUGACGGAGCAACGCCGCGUGAGUGAUGAAGGCUUUCGGGUCGUAAAACUCUGUUGUUAGGGAAGAACAAGUGCUAGUUGAAUAAGCUGGCACCUUGACGGUACCUAACCAGAAAGCCACGGCUAACUACGUGCCAGCCGCCGCGGUAA
rnacentral:rRNA from 1 species